rnacentral:misc_RNA from 1 species
AAAACUUUCGUUCAACUUCUCAAGGGGAAAAAUCUGUACUAGUGAAAUAUGGGAGGUGGUAAGGAUGAUUCUGAUAAGGGAAUCUUUAGCAAUAUAGCGGGAGGUAUGAGUCAUCUUGCUGGUGGUCAUCACGGACAUCCAGGACAGUAUCCUCCACAGCACGGUGGUUACCCUCCGCAGCAAGGGUAUCCUCCUCAAGGGUACCCUCCUCAACAAGGGUACCCUCCACAGCAAGGGUAUCCACCGCAGGGUUAUCCUCCGCAAGGAGGAUAUCCUCCACAACAAGGAUAUCCUCCACAAGGGUAUCCUCCUGCAGGUCAUCAUGGUGCUCCACAGCAUCAUUCAGGACAUGGUGGCAUGGGGGUAAUGUUAGCUGGAGGUGCUGCAGCUGCAGCUGCUGCUUAUGGCGCUCAUAAGCUGUCUCACGGACACGGUGGAUCUCACAUGGGAGGACAUGGUAUGCCAUUUGUUGGAGGCGCCAGUCAUUAUGGAGGAGGCAAGUUUAAGCAUGGCAAGGGA